rnacentral:tRNA from 4 species
GGAGAGGUGCGAGAGCGGUUUAAUCGGUACGAUUGGAGAUCGUAUGUGAUCGUAAGGUCACCGAGGGUUCGAAUCCCUCCCUCUCCGCCA